rnacentral:rRNA from 1 species
CCCGUACCGGACGAACGUUAUUCGGAAUUACUGGGCUUAAAGAGUACGUAGGCGGCCUUGUAGGUGAGGUGUGAAAUCCCACGGCUUAACCGUGGAAUGGCGCUUCAAACCACAAGGCUUGAGGGAGACAGGGGUGAGCGGAACAGAUGGUGGAGCGGUGAAAUGCGUUGAUAUCAUCUGGAACACCGGUGGCGAAGGCGGCUCACUGGGUCUCUUCUGACGCUGAGGUACGAAAGCUAGGGUAGAGAACGGG